UACGGGGGGUGCGAGCGUUGUCCGGAAUCACUGGGCGUAAAGGGCGCGUAGGUGGCCUGAUAAGGGUGUGGUGAAAGUCCGGGGCUCAACCCCGGAUCUGCCGUGCCGACUGUUAGGCUAGAGUACUGUAGGGGCAGGCGGAAUUCCGGGUGUAGCGGUGGAAUGCGUAGAGAUCCGGAGGAAGACCGGUGGCGAAGGCGGCCUGCUGGGCAGUUACUGACACUGAGGCGCGACAGCGUGGGGAGCAACAGG
rnacentral:rRNA from 1 species